AGGCUGGCAGCCCAUGAUACAACGGUAGGAGCCCAGGCUGUUCUGGCACCGCCACGUGCCACAGAUGGCAUCCCCAUAUUCCUUACAUUCGUCCACAUCUAUGCAGUCAUCAGUCUCCUGGGAGUGUUUGAACCCAUUUUCACACAGACACCUGUAGGAGCCUUCUGUGUUCAGGCACUGGCCUUGUGAGCACCGGGAUUUGUCUGUACAUUCAUCCACAUCUUGGCAGUUG
rnacentral:lncRNA from 1 species